UUGAACGCUGGCGGCAUGCCUUACACAUGCAAGUCGAACGGCAGCACGGGAGCAAUCCUGGUGGCGAGUGGCGAACGGGUGAGUAAUAUAUCGGAACGUGCCCGGUCGUGGGGGAUAACGUAGCGAAAGCUACGCUAAUACCGCAUACGAUCUACGGAUGAAAGCGGGGGGAUCGCAAGACCUCGCGCGAUUGGAGCGGCCGAUAUCAGAUUAGGUAGUUGGUGAGGUAAAGGCUCACCAAGCCGACGAUCUGUAGCUGGUCUGAGAGGACGACCAGCCACACUGGGACUGAGACACGGACCAGACUCCUACGGGAGGCAGCAGUGAGGAAUAUUGGACAAUGGGCGCAAGCCUGAUCCAGCCAUGCCGCGUGCAGGAUGACGGUCCUAUGGAUUGUAAACUGCUUUGUACGAGAAGAAACAACAUUACGUGUAAUGUCUUGACGGUAUCGUAAGAAUAAGGAUCGGCUAACUCCGUG
rnacentral:rRNA from 1 species